rnacentral:rRNA from 1 species
CAGCCGCCGCGGUAAUACGUAGGGUGCAAGCGUUGUCCGGAAUUAUUGGGCGUAAAGAGCUCGUAGGCGGUCUGUCGCGUCGAAUGUGAAAACCCGGGGCUCAACUCCGGGCCUGCAUUCGAUACGGGCAGACUAGAGUUCGGUAGGGGAGUCUGGAAUUCCUGGUGUAGCGGUGAAAUGCGCAGAUAUCAGGAGGAACACCGGUGGCGAAGGCGGGACUCUGGGCCGAUACUGACGCUGAGGAGCGAAAGCGUGGGGAGCGAACAGGAUUAGAUACCCGUGUAGUCCCUGUCUCUUAUAC